rnacentral:tRNA from 1 species
GGGGUUGUAGCUCAGCUGGUAGAGCGCUUGCCUCAUAUGCAUGAGGACUUUGGUUUGAUCCUCAGCACCA